rnacentral:lncRNA from 1 species
UUGUUUAUCAAAAAGUAAAACAUUCAAGUUUCUGUAUUUGAUCCAGCUAAAAGCCCCAGAUCAUCAAACCCUAAUUGUAAUGGUAGGAUUAUUACUAAUACUCACCCUUGUAUUUUCACCUCUGAUUAUUUUAUUUUCACCUCUAAUUAUAACCCUAAUUUUAACGGUCAUCAAAUCUCGCCGGCGCCGGAAACACGCCGUCGGAUUCUUCCACCCCUACACCAACGACGGCGGCGGCGGAGAGCGAGUGCUAUGGUGCGCCG